AAUACGUCAUUAAUGAUGGAUGGCUUCCACUUUAUUAUUUUUGUUGGAUUCGUUUUCACACUACUUUUUUAAACGAAUAAUAUUUUGGAGAAGGGCCAAACAUCAGAAAGGACAAUACAAGAGUUGUUCAAGAAUCGAUCUCUACGAAAUUUUUUGAGAAAAAACAAGCAGGCCAAUUAUACAAUGAGAAACUAUAGAGCCUAAUUAUGUAUUGGAAAAUUUUCUUUAUAUUCUUAAUUAACAGGUGUUCACCCUAAAAGAUUUUCCUGUUUAAAAAAUGUAAGAAUAUUAAAUGACCAGGAAAGCAUGUUUCACCAACUUAUCGACAGUUGCUAUUCAAAAUUUAUCAUGUCUGUAUUCAGUUUAAUUCGGUCUGGCAGUACAAGGAGUUUUAACUUCAUUGAUAUUUAAUGUUUAUGGCAAAAGCAUAAAUUUAUGUAAAAUAUAACACAACUACAAGAUCGCUGAAUAUACGUUAUUUUAUAAAGUCAUUGGCUAAAUUGGUGAUUUACAAUUUUUAAAAAAAUAGAAACAGCUUUAGGGUUCAAUUAGUGUUUUCAUACUUUAGAACAGACACGUUCUACACUUUGCCACAGAAAAAAAGAACAAUCAAUGAAAGUUAAUUCCCUUCUAAUAAGUACUCUCUAAAGACUCCCAAGCCAACUAUUUCUUAUGGCUGCUUCUUUUCUCUGGCUCGACUGUUCGUGAGCACAAUUAUAAAUUUUCAUCAACAACAACAUAAAAACACCAUUGUUAUAUAAAAUAUUCAAAGAUAAAUUUGAGGAAAAAAAUCUAUAAAUAAGAACAAAAUAAGGCACGCUCGUCCCCAGGGUAAUUUGCCUUUUCGUCAUCUCUCAUAUCAAAAAGGCAAAAAAGGCUGACUUUAAAGUUGUGUUUUUACUAUUUAAAACAAAAUAAAAAAACUUGAUAAUGUAACUUAGAUUACAAAAAGCUUCGUAAAAAUAAAUUGUUUUUUAACCAAGUGUUUUAUUAAUUAUUGAUAAAAUACCAAAAAAAUCACGGAAACAGGCUUAAAAAAUAAGAAAAUCAGCCCUUAGGUCGAGUUUCACUGAUUCUCUCUAAAAAUUAUAUUCACAUUUUUAAUUUCCAUAAGCAAUUUCCUUUGUACAAUGGAUGUAUAAAGUUAUCAAGACAUUUGUUUACGUUCACAGAUUACAAAAAAUUAUUUUUGUCAUCACAUAUCAAUACCGCAUUCAAUAAAAUGAAUCAUUGGAAAGGUAAAUUUUAUAAUAACAGCUAAAAAUUGAUAAUUUUUUUUUUAACCGGAACACUAAAUCAUGUUUCCAUGAUGAAUCUGAUCUGAUUGAUAUCCGACUUUUAGCGGUUGAAACAGGAAAAGUAACCCUGAGUAUUUUUCCACAAGACUUAAUUAAUUGUGUAAGCAGAUGAAUGAAGGUAAUUGUUUUAAUUAGCACAAAGCCCGCCUUUAUUAAAAUCAUCUUAGAACUCAUACCCCUUUAUAUUAUAUUAUAUGAAUACCGACUUUAUUCAUUUCUUUGAAGAUUUCUGUUCGUACAAAAUUAAUUUUUAUUUUGUUUUAGUUUACCUUCGACUUGAAAUAAAAAUUCGAGUUGACAGCUCUCUUUUCCAGCUAUCAUGAGGUUAAAAUUGCUUUUAUUUAUCAGAAUCUUAAACACGCGUGACGAGCUGAAGAACGUUUAAGGAAAACACAGAUUUAUCUCCAUGCAUUUAUGUUUGAUUUUAACUGAGUUGGUAGUGAAUUUUGCGUUUACUUAAUUUCUUAAUAACACACAAUACAAUAUCACCUACGGUGGAGCAUGCUUCACACUAAAAUAGCAUCUACGAUGGACGCUCAUGUUUUUGUUCGAAGACGCAAAUCGUACGUGCUUUAUAUAAAAUCAAGUGAAUUUGGCAAAGAAGAUAUAAACAUUGCCAGGUUAAACAAAUACUUCGCUUGCCUUCUCAAGCGUCACACUAUCAUUUUACUUGUCGCGACAUGACGACGCCUUUUGUUGUCAUAGCGACGUAAAAUUAGAAAUUUACUUAUUUUUUCAGCUGGAUAAAUGUUGCAUAUGUGGGUACUGUGCACGACUUGCAAAUUUCUUCAGACAAUUAUGACACUGAGUUUUUUAUAUGAAAUAAACAGUGAUGCAAAGUCUGCAACAAGAUAUGCAUAGCCUGAUUGUGUGGGACACAACUAGUAAAUACAAGGCAUGUUUUAAGUUGGAAGGGCGAUAUAGUAUAUUUGCUAACCUUUUCUGUAUUAGGUGAACUCCAUAAUGAUUGGGACCUACUCAGCCUCCUGAUUGGUAAAACUGCACCCCAAACUCUGGGACUACAUUAUAAAAUUUCAUCGAUGAAGACAUAAAAUACCAAUAAAUUUAGUAGGAAAACAACCAUGUUUUGGCUAAUAUAGACAUGUUACAUGUUACACAAAGAUUUUGGGGAGAGGAGCCAAAAGGAGACGAGUUUUAUGAUUCAGCAAAAAGCUUUGAUGGGAAAAUCAUCAUCACUCGGGCAACUUACGGCGCGUCUUUAAUUUUUUCGGGAGAAGCACGUGUAUACCGCGUUUCUUUAAAUUAUUUCCCUCGUUUUGCUGUUUGACGUGUUCUUUUGACGUGCUGAUUUUGUGGGAGGAUACAUCGCUGACAUGCCAUUAUUUUUAAAGUGUGGGAGAGGGCAAGAAGGCAGCCAUCUUCUUUACGAAUGUCUUUUUGACAGAAAUGUUUGGGACGUAUUUGUAACAGAACACAGAAAAAAAAGAUUAGAUUCUUACCUGGAAAUUUUUCGUAUUUACGACGCAUUCGGUUUGGAUUAACAAAGUUGUUGGUAAAUUUCGAUAAAUCGAUGCCAUUGUUUUCCAGGUAUUCUAUGACAACCGUAUUUCCAGUGGUGCCAGGAAUGCCAUACUUUCGUGCCAAUUCAGAAUAAUUUAUCUAAAAUUUAUAAAAAUUAUCCGUGUGUUAAUGGAUAUUGUAAGUACUGUUUACAGAAUAUUAUAUUCGUAACUA